rnacentral:snoRNA from 1 species
UGCCAUUGCUAAGUCAAGGCAACUCCCACGACCUCGUCGUAUAUACACCAUGGGAGUUCCCUGUUACAGCUUUGGUAGAUUGACGCUUGCCCGCGCCGACCUUCUUUCUGAAGUUAGGCUGACUGGCUUUCGUUUUGAAAACCGGUCGCAAGGGCCGAGCUGUGCUCCGUUUUUGAGUUGAGACCUGCUUCACCUAUCUGUGAUUCGUAGCUGGUCUCUUAGUAACGUUACACACAUUC